rnacentral:rRNA from 11 species
UAUAAGGAAUCUAAAUACCUUAAAGGUGCCAGUUCCAUCAGAUCUUGGAAGCUAAGUGGGGUCAGUCCUGGUGAGAACUUGGAUGGGAAGAGCACCAAUGAAUACCAGGUUCUGUAAGC